GUAGGUGGCAAGCGUUGUCCGGAAUUAUUGGGCGUAAAGCGCGCGCAGGCGGUUCUUUAAGUCUGAUGUGAAAGCCCACGGCUCAACCGUGGAGGGUCAUUGGAAACUGGAGAACUUGAGUACAGAAGAGGAAAGCGGAAUUCCACGUGUAGCGGUGAAAUGCGUAGAGAUGUGGAGGAACACCAGUGGCGAAGGCGGCUUUCUGGUCUGUAACUGACGCUGAGGCGCGAAAGCGUGGGGGAGCAAACAGGAUUAGAUACCCUGGUAGUCCACGCCGUAAACGAUGAGUGCUAAGUGUUAGGGGGUUUCCGCCCCUCAGUGCUGCAGCUAACGCAUUAAGCACUCCGCCUGGGAGUACGGCCGCAAGGCUG
rnacentral:rRNA from 1 species